GAGGGGUAUCCUCUGUGUAACCCAGUCUCUCUGAGGGGUAUCCUCCUGUAACCCCAGUCUCUCUGAGGGGUAUCCUCCUGUGUAACCCAGUCUCUCUGAGGGCAUCCUCCUGUAACCCCAGUCUCUCUGGGGUAUCCUCCUGUGUGUACCCCAGUCUCUCUGAGGGGUAUCCUCCUGUGUGUACCCCAGUCUCUCUGAGGGGCAUCCUCCUGUAACCCCAGUCUCUCUGAGGGGUAUCCUCCUGUGUAGCCCC
rnacentral:lncRNA from 1 species